rnacentral:rRNA from 1 species
UACAGAGGGUGCGAGCGUUGUUCGGAAUUGUUGGGCGUAAAGGGCGCGUAGGCGGUGCGGUAAGUCACCUGUGAAAUCUCCUGGCUCAACUGGGAGCUUGCAGGCGAAACUGCCGUGCUGGAGUGUGGGAGAGGUGAGUGGAAUUCCCGGUGUAGCGGUGAAAUGCGUAGAUAUCGGAAGGAACACCAGUGGCGAAAGCGGCUUCCUGGUCCGACACCGACGUUCAGGCACGAAAGCGUGGGGAGCAAACAGG